UUGGGGCUGCAUGCAAAGGUGGGGGCUUGGGGCUGGCAAACAAGGGGUGGGGUAGGAGGGGGGGCACAGAGGGGAUGCAGAAGGGGGUUAUGAGCACAUAGGGGGUUGCAGAAAGGGAUGGGGGGGGCACAAUGGGUUUGGGUGUGCACAGCAGGAUGGAGAAGGGAAUAAGUGUGUGCACAAGGGGUAUCGAGGUGCACAAAGGGGUUGCAGAAGGGGUUUGAAGUGCAAAGAGGGUGGCAGAAGGGGAUGUGGGGGUGCACAAAGAGGAUGCAGAAGGGGGCUAGGGAUACACAGGGGGACACAGAAGGGAUGUGAGAUGCAAAAGGGAUUGCAGAAGGGGCUUAGAAGUGCACAAGGGGUUGAAGUAGGGGAUGGGAGGAGUGCACAAGGGGUUUGGGGGAAUGCACAAAAGGAAUGAAGAACAGGUUUAGGGGGAUGCAGAUGGAGUUAAGGGGAAGGCACAAAGCGGGGGUGAAGAAUGGCUUUAAGGAGAUGCAGAAGGGAUCUAGGGGGAUACACAAAGGGGAUGGAAAAUGGCUUUAGGGGGAUGCAGAAGGGGAUGCACAAGGAGUCUGGGAGGUGCACGAGGGGUUCGGGAUUCAGGACGGGGCUCGCAGCCCCGCAGCUCAGCAGGGCGGUGGGUGCCCGGCGGCGGGGCUGCUCCUCUCCGGUAGUCGGAGGAGAGAACGGCGGAGCCCGGCGGUGCGGAGCCGCCCCACGUCCCCGCCGCUCCGCUCCAUCUCUCCGGCGCGGUGAGCGAGGGGCUCCGCGGGGCUCCUGCCCCGGUACCGGGCGGCGGCGGUGCUCAGCGCUGCGAGGGGGUGGCGGCGGCGGCUCCGUGCAGUCCCCCCCUCCCCUCGGAGUCUCUUCGUUCUCCUCCUCCCGGUGCCGAAAGGGCUCUCCCGGCCGCGAUUUGGGGCAACUGUUGCACGGGGCUCCCCCCGGGGAAGCGGCUCCGCUCGGCUCUGCUCGGGCGGCUGCGGGGGUGCGUGCGGCUGGGAGAGCCGGGGGAGGGCCGGGGGCGGGCACCGAGCACCGAGGCAGGGCUUGCGGAGGAAGCUGGAGCCGGACGGGGCUCUUCCUUCCUCCUCCUCCUCCUCCUCCUUCUCUUCUUCUCGCCCUGCGGAGCUGGGGCUGGCACCGGGGGUGUUCCUCCGAGGGACCUCCAAAGGGAGGCACAGCUCCAGGGCUUCUCCAUCCCCAUCACAACCCCCGAAACGCACCCCCGCUCCUGGAUAAGGACCGCAGCGAACAAGCGACGCUCACCGGCUGCAGCACAGAGAUGUCUCGAGAAACAUGCCUGGGAGAAAUGAGCAUGCAUGGGCACAGCAGCAGCUUCAGAGCUGCUCCCGUCGCGAGGGGCUGUUUUCCAGCCGCAAACUGCAUGCAGCCACCCCCGUGCUGCUGCUGGGCUGGAGCAGUGAUGGGGCUGAGCGCACAUCGCCUGGGCAAGCACUGUGGAAGAUGGGGGCAUCUCUCAGCCGUGCCACAGGUAACCCUGCAGCAGCUUUGCAUCCUUUGUGCCUCCUUUGCAUCCUGUCCACAGGCACACCAGGAGUUCGUUACGCUGACGAAUAAAGGGCGGCCCUCCUCCGUACCCAAAUGCCUGCGUCGCUGUGUUAAAACCCCAAAGGCCAACCGCUGCAAUUCAUUUUCAUACCACGAGAAAGGUGCAGAGCCCUUUGGCUCUGUCUUGCAGAGCUGUGCUGCACGGCCCUCAAAGCCAAACCCAACAAUUUCUCAUGAGCCGCAUCUUUUACUGCUGUCAUGAGAUAAGAACUACAUUUCACUGCUCCAGGCACAUCAAG
rnacentral:lncRNA from 1 species